rnacentral:misc_RNA from 1 species
GAAGAUAAUUUGGGAGUCCUCCUGGUAUGUUUUCUAAAAUAACCAGAUUUUUUUAUAUAAGUUGUUUUAUAGUGUUUUGAUGAAUAGAAACUAGGAAGAGCUUUAUUUGCUUGUGUAUAUCAUGUGAACCAUGCAAAGUAACAUCAAAUUCGGGUUCAAAAACAUUGAUGUUAUAUUAAGCAUCAUCCUUGUACAAUUGAAUCAACAGAUGUGAACCCUUUCAUUUAGGGACUUGACAAAACAAAUUUUAUAGGCUUAUAUAUUCUAACUAUGUUGUUUUUGUGUAGCAGAUACAUUUUUUUGACUUUUACGG